rnacentral:rRNA from 1 species
UCGGGGUCCGCAUUGUAAUUGCAGAGGAUGCUUCGGGAGUGGCCCCCAUCUAAGUGCUCUGGAACGGCCGUCAUAGAGGGUGAGAAUCCCGUAUGGGAUGGGGUGUCCGCGACCAUGUGAAGCUCCUUCAACGAGUCGAGUUGUUUGGGAAUGCAGCUCUAAAUGGGUGGUAAAUUUCAUCUAAAGCUAAAUAUUGGCCGGAGACCGAUAGCGCACAAGUAGAGUGAUCGAAAGAUGAAAAGCACUUUGAAAAGAGAGUUAAAAAGCACGUGAAAUUGUUGAAAGGGAAGCGCUUGCGACCAGACUCGCCUACGGGGUUCAGCCGGUAUUCGUACCGGUGUACUUCCCCGUGGGCGGGCCAGCGUCGGUUUGGGCGGCCGGUCAAAGGCCCUCGGAAUGUAACGCCUCUCGGGGCGUCUUAUAGCCGAGGGUGCCAUGCGGCCAGCCCAGACCGAGGAACGCGCUUCGGCACGGACGCUGGCAUAAUGGUCGUAAGCGACCCGUCUUGAAACACGGACCAAGGAGUCUAACAUCUACGCGAGUGUUCGGGUGUCAAACCCGUGCGCGCAGUGAAAGCGAACGGAGGUGGGAACCCUCACGGGUGCACCAUCGACCGAUCCUGAUGUCUUCGGAUGGAUUUGAGUAAGAGCGUAGCUGUUGGGACCCGAAAGAUGGUGACUAUGCCUGAUAGGGCGAAGCAGAGGAACUCUGGUGGAGGCUCGCAGCGGUUCUGACGUGCAAUCGAUCGUCG